GGCCUCCUACGGGGCGCAGCAGUAGGGAAUCUUCCACAAUGGACGAAAGUCUGAUGGAGCAACGCCGCGUGAGUGAAGAAGGGUUUCGGCUCGUAAAGCUCUGUUGGUAGUGAAGAAAGAUAGAGGUAGUAACUGGCCUUUAUUUGAUGGUAAUUACUUAGAAAGUCACGGCUAACUACGUGCCAGCAGCCGCGGUAAUACGUAGGUGGCAAGCGUUGUCCGGAUUUAUUUGGCGUAAA
rnacentral:rRNA from 1 species